UACAGAGGAUGCAAGCGUUGUUCGGAUUCAUUGGGCGUAAAGGGUGCGUAGGUGGCUAGGUAAGUCGGAUGUGAAAUCCCGGGGCUCAACCCCGGAACUGCAUUCGAUACUGCCUGGCUAGAGUACUGGAGAGGAGAUUGGAAUUUACGGUGUAGCAGUGAAAUGCGUAGAUAUCGUAAGGAAGACCAGUGGCGAAGGCGGAUCUCUGGACAGUUACUGACACUGAGGCACGAAGGCCAGGGGAGCAAACGGG
rnacentral:rRNA from 1 species